rnacentral:rRNA from 1 species
UUAAGCGACUAAGCGUACACGGUGGAUGCCCUGGCAGUCAGAGGCGAUGAAGGACGUGCUAAUCUGCGAUAAGCGUCGGUAAGGUGAUAUGAACCGUUAUAACCGGCGAUUUCCGAAUGGGGAAACCCAGUGUGAUUCGUCACACUAUCAUUAACUGAAUCCAUAGGUUAAUGAGGCGAACCGGGGGAACUGAAACAUCUAAGUACCCCGAGGAAAAGAAAUCAACCGAGAUUCCCCCAGUAGCGGCGAGCGAACGGGGAGCAGCCCAGAGUCUGAAUCAGCUUGUGUGUUAGUGGAACGGUCUGGAAAGUCCGACGGUACAGGGUGAUAGUCCCGUACACCAAAAUGCACAGGUUGUGAACUCGAAGAGUAGGGCGGGACACGUGGUAUCCUGUCUGAAUAUGGGGGGACCAUCCUCCAAGGCUAAAUACUCCUGACUGACCGAUAGUGAACCAGUACCGUGAGGGAAAGGCGAAAAGAACCCCGGCGAGGGGAGUGAAAAAGAACCUGAAACCGUGUACGUACAAGCAGUGGGAGCACCCUUUAGGGUGUGACUGCGUACCUUUUGUAUAAUGGGUCAGCGACUUAUAUUCUGUAGCAAGGUUAACCGAAUAGGGGAGCCGAAGGGAAACCGAGUCUUAACUGGGCGUUAAGUUGCAGGGUAUAGACCCGAAACCCGGUGAUCUAGCCAUGGGCAGGUUGAAGGUUGGGUAACACUAACUGGAGGACCGAACCGACUAAUGUUGAAAAAUUAGCGGAUGACUUGUGGCUGGGGGUGAAAGGCCAAUCAAACCGGGAGAUAGCUGGUUCUCCCCGAAAGCUAUUUAGGUAGCGCCUCGUGAACUCAUCUUCGGGGGUAGAGCACUGUUUCGGCUAGGGGGUCAUCCCGACUUACCAACCCGAUGCAAACUACGAAUACCGAAGAAUGUUAUCACGGGAGACACACGGCGGGUGCUAACGUCCGUCGUGAAGAGGGAAACAACCCAGACCGCCAGCUAAGGUCCCAAAGUCAUGGUUAAGUGGGAAACGAUGUGGGAAGGCCCAGACAGCCAGGAUGUUGGCUUAGAAGCAGCCAUCAUUUAAAGAAAGCGUAAUAGCUCACUGGUCGAGUCGGCCUGCGCGGAAGAUGUAACGGGGCUAAACCAUGCACCGAAGCUGCGGCAGCGACGCUGAUGCGUUGUUGGGUAGGGGAGCGUUCUGUAAGCCUGCGAAGGUGUGCUGUGAGGCAUGCUGGAGGUAUCAGAAGUGCGAAUGCUGACAUAAGUAACGAUAAAGCGGGUGAAAAGCCCGCUCGCCGGAAGACCAAGGGUUCCUGUCCAACGUUAAUCGGGGCAGGGUGAGUCGACCCCUAAGGCGAGGCCGAAAGGCGUAGUCGAUGGGAAACAGGUUAAUAUUCCUGUACUUGGUGUUACUGCGAAGGGGGGACGGAGAAGGCUAUGUUAGCCGGGCGACGGUUGUCCCGGUUUAAGCAUGUAGGCGGAGGUUCCAGGUAAAUCCGGUACCUUAUUAACGCUGAGGUGUGAUGACGAGGCACUACGGUGCUGAAGUAACAAAUGCCCUGCUUCCAGGAAAAGCCUCUAAGCAUCAGGUAACAUUGAAUCGUACCCCAAACCGACACAGGUGGUCAGGUAGAGAAUACCAAGGCGCUUGAGAGAACUCGGGUGAAGGAACUAGGCAAAAUGGUGCCGUAACUUCGGGAGAAGGCACGCUGAUAUGUAGGUGAAGUCCCUCGCGGAUGGAGCUGAAAUCAGUCGAAGAUACCAGCUGGCUGCAACUGUUUAUUAAAAACACAGCACUGUGCAAACACGAAAGUGGACGUAUACGGUGUGACGCCUGCCCGGUGCCGGAAGGUUAAUUGAUGGGGUUAUCCGUAAGGAGAAGCUCUUGAUCGAAGCCCCGGUAAACGGCGGCCGUAACUAUAACGGUCCUAAGGUAGCGAAAUUCCUUGUCGGGUAAGUUCCGACCUGCACGAAUGGCGUAAUGAUGGCCAGGCUGUCUCCACCCGAGACUCAGUGAAAUUGAACUCGCUGUGAAGAUGCAGUGUACCCGCGGCAAGACGGAAAGACCCCGUGAACCUUUACUAUAGCUUGACACUGAACAUUGAGCCUUGAUGUGUAGGAUAGGUGGGAGGCUUUGAAGCGUGGACGCCAGUCUGCGUGGAGCCAACCUUGAAAUACCACCCUUUAAUGUUUGAUGUUCUAACGUUGACCCGUAAUCCGGGUUGCGGACAGUGUCUGGUGGGUAGUUUGACUGGGGCGGUCUCCUCCCAAAGAGUAACGGAGGAGCACGAAGGUUAGCUAAUCCUGGUCGGACAUCAGGAGGUUAGUGCAAUGGCAUAAGCCAGCUUGACUGCGAGCGUGACGGCGCGAGCAGGUGCGAAAGCAGGUCAUAGUGAUCCGGUGGUUCUGAAUGGAAGGGCCAUCGCUCAACGGAUAAAAGGUACUCCGGGGAUAACAGGCUGAUACCGCCCAAGAGUUCAUAUCGACGGCGGUGUUUGGCACCUCGAUGUCGGCUCAUCACAUCCUGGGGCUGAAGUAGGUCCCAAGGGUAUGGCUGUUCGCCAUUUAAAGUGGUACGCGAGCUGGGUUUAGAACGUCGUGAGACAGUUCGGUCCCUAUCUGCCGUGGGCGCUGGAGAAUUGAGGGGGGCUGCUCCUAGUACGAGAGGACCGGAGUGGACGCAUCACUGGUGUUCGGGUUGUCAUGCCAAUGGCACUGCCCGGUAGCUAAAUGCGGAAGAGAUAAGUGCUGAAAGCAUCUAAGCACGAAACUUGCCCCGAGAUGAGUUCUCCCUGACUCCUUGAGAGUCCUGAAGGAACGUUAAAGACGAUGACGUUGAUAGGUCGGGUGUGUAAGCGUAGCGAUACGUUGAGCUAACCGAUACUAAUGAACCGUGAGGCUUAACCUU